rnacentral:rRNA from 1 species
UACAGGGGAUGCAAACGUUGCUCGGAAUUAUUGGGCGUAAAGCGCGCGUAGGCGGCCGCUUAAGUCGGAUGUGAAAGCCCCCGGCUCAACUGGGGAGGGUCACGCGAUACUGAUCGACUCGAAGGCAGGAGAGGGAAGUGGAAUUCCCGGUGUAGUGGUGAAAUGCGUAGAUAUCGGGAGGAACACCAGUGGCGAAGGCGACUUCCUGGCCUGUUCUUGACGCUGAGGCGCGAAAGCUAGGGGAGCAAACGGG